rnacentral:ncRNA from 1 species
UGAGGUAGAGGUUGCGUUUAUCAACAGUAACUUUGCGGAGGCCGGAAGCCUUUGAAACAAAGCGAAAGGGAUCGACGCCGAAAUUGCAGGCACCAAAGUCUGCGGUUGGGGUCGCACUCAAUAAGUGCGGAACUGUCAACGGGGUAAACAAUACCGUACUCCGUUGGAGCGCUAUCA